rnacentral:tRNA from 1 species
UCCCUGGUGGUCCAGUGGCUAAGACUCCACACUCCCAAUGCAGGGGACCCAGGUUCGAUCCCUGGCCAGGCAA